UACGGAGGGGGCUAGCGUUGUUCGGAAUUACUGGGCGUAAAGCGCACGUAGGCGGCUUUGCAAGUUAGAGGUGAAAGCCCGGGGCUCAACUCCGGAAUUGCCUUUAAAACUGCAUCGCUAGAAUUGUGGAGAGGUAAGUGGAAUUCCGAGUGUAGAGGUGAAAUUCGUAGAUAUUAGGAGGAAUACCGGUGGCGAAGGCGGCCUUCUGGGCCGAUCUUGACGCUGAGACGCGAAAGCGUGGGGAGCAAACAGG
rnacentral:rRNA from 1 species